UACGUAGGGUGCGAGCGUUGUCCGGAAUUAUUGGGCGUAAAGAGCUCGUAGGCGGCCUGUUGCGUCUGCUGUGAAAGCCCGGGGCUUAACCCCGGGUCUGCAGUGGAUACGGGCAGGCUAGAGUUCGGCAGGGGAGACUGGAAUUCCUGGUGUAGCGGUGAAAUGCGCAGAUAUCAGGAGGAACACCGGUGGCGAAGGCGGGUUGCUAGGCUGACACUGACGCUGAGACGCGAAAGCGUGGGGAGCAAACAGG
rnacentral:rRNA from 1 species